CAACAACCGACAGCAGUCGGGCGACAUUUUGUUUGCCGGCAUUUGUUUACAAUUUGCUCCGGGAGUAAUUUCUUCUAAAAAACUAAAUUUAUCUUUGUGAGUGGCCUAAUAAACCGUAGCAACAUAAUAUCUACUACAGUAGAGCGGCAUUAACGAUCGGUGCGAGAAAAUGAACAUCGAAUCAAUCAGUUCGGAUGAACGAAAAAGCACUCCGUCAUCUAGCAGGCAGAUCAUUUUGGCGCUCCGCAUAAGAAUUACCCAGAUAAAAUGGGAUGAUCAGCUAGAACAGAAAUAGAAAACUGCAGUGCUCCAUUCGGGAUUGGAAAAGGAAAUUCGCAGCAAAGUGGUAAAAUGCGGGAAAUAUCUACGGCAAGUUGCGCGAAGUGAUCUUACCGUGAGUAGAAUUCGGUAGUGACGGAUGCAAGAGGUCCCAGGGCUAGCUACACCAUUAAUAGAUAAUUGGCAAGUCACAGGGCUAUACAUGUAUAUCUGUUCUAUGUAGAUAUGAAUUUAUGCAAAAGUUGGACUGCUAUAUUUUAUUGACAGUUUUCUCGCGUUAAUUGGUAGUGAACGAGUUUUAACCAUAACACGUGAGAAUAAGUUUCUAUGCUGGGGAUGAAAAAUUAACA